GAAAUAAAAAAAUAAUAAUAAUCCUACCCAUUGAGAUUGUGGAGAACAGUAAAAGAAUAACUGUAAAGCUGCUUGCAUGCUAGAUGGCAAGGAAAACCUAGAUCUUUUGUUUAAUUUUCAGCAAAUUUUUAUAUCACUCCUCUGAUUUCGGCUUAUGAUUUCUGAAUCUCUAAGUGCUGGUGAGGACGUUGUCUGGAAGAGAAGGGAAGGGGACAUGAAACUAUGCAUACUCUGUCCCUCUGUUUGAAAUAGCCUUGAUUUAGCUUGGCAUACCAGCUGAAAUCAGCUGCAACCCAGGCCUUCAACCAACCAGUGCAACCAUCCCAGGACAAAAACUGAGGUGAAUCGAAGAUAACUUAAUUCAAGUUCUUAUGCAGAUAGGUAUUUGACUAUAAUAUGCACUUCUACUCAACCUCCUCAACAUCACAAAACCUCCCUGCUGCUGUAGGAGUGGACGUCACUGUGGUGGAGAAUACUGGGCAGCUGCUCAUCACAGGUGUAUGGGAAACUCACUGUAAUAAGCUGGGAGUGGGUAACAUGGCCUCCCUGGUCCGGGCAUAG
rnacentral:lncRNA from 1 species